rnacentral:rRNA from 1 species
UACAGAGGGGGCAAGCGUUGUUCGGAAUUACUGGGCGUAAAGGGCGCGUAGGUGGCCUUCUAAGUUGAACGUGAAAUCCCUGGGCUCAACCCAGGAACUGCGUCCAAGACUGGGAGGCUUGAAUCCGGGAGAGGGAUGCGGAAUUCCAGGUGUAGCGGUGAAAUGCGUAGAUAUCGUAAGGAAGACCAGUGGCGAAGGCGGGUCUCUGGACAGUUCCUGACGCUGAGGCACGAAGGUCAGGGGAGCAAACGGG